GACGAACGCUGGCGGCGUGCUUAACACAUGCAAGUCGAACGCUGAAGCUUGGUGCUUGCACUGGGUGGAUGAGUGGCGAACGGGUGAGUAAUACGUGUGUAACCUGCCCUUGACUCUGGGAUAAGCCUGGGAAACUGGGUCUAAUACUGGAUACGACAUGUCACCGCAUGGUGGUGUGUGGAAAGGGUUUUACUGGUUUUGGAUGGGCUCACGGCCUAUCAGCUUGUUGGUGGGGUAAUGGCUCACCAAGGCGACGACGGGUAGCCGGCCUGAGAGGGUGACCGGCCACACUGGGACUGAGACACGGCCCAGACUCCUACGGGAGGCAGCAGUGGGGAAUAUUGCACAAUGGGCGGAAGCCUGAUGCAGCGACGCCGCGUGAGGGAUGACGGCCUUCGGGUUGUAAACCUCUUUCAGCACGGAAGAAGCGAAAGUGACGGUACGUGCAGAAGAAGCGCCGGCUAACUACGUG
rnacentral:rRNA from 1 species